rnacentral:lncRNA from 1 species
UUCUAUCUUAGGAGGGGAGAGAACAAUGGAAGCAAAAGAUGGGGUGUCUUGAGUAAAUUUCCAGUUUAUUGAAAAAACUUGGUCACUCUCUGGAUCAUGAUUUUUGCUGGGUAGAGGAAACUCCCUUUUAUAGGCACUUAGAACCAUAAUUAUAUCGAUCAUCCAUUCCCACUUUUCCUUUGCUUCUUUCCAUUCACCAUUUUUGGUGAAAUUUCUUUAACCAGAGCGCAUGGGUCACAGGCUCUUUGGGGUUCCAAGGUUUUUGUAUGGUUGGACCUCCCCGUGGGGGUGAGGCGCCACCUGUUUUCUUCCUUGGUUUUCAAAACAAAGCUCACAGAGGAAAAGAGAAUGGGUAGAGUCGUUUGUCCAAUGGGUACUCCUCUUACACAUAUGGAUUCCCUUUGGUUCCUGCCAUGGCUUCUCGUUGACUAUUUUGGAGUUUUGACAAGGGUGACAUACAAUGCUAGAUUUUUACAAGGCGCUAGGCUGGGCUUUGUUUACAGUAUUGAGUUAUUGGUAUUCUAUUUCCAGCGUCCAAUGGGUUUUCGUCAAGCUACUGGAAAUAGUCUAUUUGUUUUAUUUUGGGCAUUUUACUGAUGUGGGUUUGUCUAAGUGUUGCAGCAGACUACUAGAUGUUCUCCUAAGGCAUUGGAUCACUUUCUUCCCUCUCUCAUGCUAACCCAUGUGUUUGGGCCCGAGGAAUGGUCUUAAGUUUUAAUGCUCCCAAGUGGCCUAAAACUUUCAUUCCUUAAACCCUCAAUGGGCCCUGUGAGUGCGUGUUCCCGUCCAUGCCACAACCUUCUCAGCAAGCCCGGGGUAAUUACGUGGCUUGGGCUCACUUAAGCCGGUAGCACGACUUGGCAUUAGAAUAGCAGUUAUUCACAUGGCAUUGCGUGUUUUUCUAGCAUGCUUGUGCUUGAGUUUUAUCGUGUCGCAAUAAACUAUGAUCGGGCCAAGUAGCAUGGGAUAGGUUGGUAAGUGUGAAUUUAUAGAUUCGGUGCAUUUUGGUCUUUUUUGCGUGGCGGGCGUGCAUGUUUGCUAGGCGUGACGUGUGGUCCAUGACUUGCACGGGUGCGUCCUACAAAUUCUCUUAUGCCUCAAUUGGGCUCCUUUUGGGAUCAAUUAUUUGUGCUGGGCCAAGAAUAAAUCGGGCCCAACCCUUGGAUUUUCCCCAAACUUGUAUAAUCAUAAUCCCUUCUCUUUUCC